GCGGAUGAAGACCCCAUCUUGGGGUUCCACCAGAUAUUCCUACUAAAGAACAUCAGCGAUGCUUGGGUUUGCACCAAUGAUAUGCAGGCUUGCUCUGCACAACUUCAGCUGACCUCCUCUCCACCGGGCCCUCACGCUGCCUCCUCUUCCCUCCUCUUUCCAGAACUAUUGCCACUCCUCCAGAUAUGAUGCACAAAUGAGCAGGGUCGCAGUGGGAGUGGGCGCAGUGCGCUGAUGCCACGGAGGUGUUGUGCAUGACGUCUGGACACUAGACUAGCUGCAUGUAAUGGGAAAAGUUUGUGUUGUACCAGCGCAUGCCUUGGAAAGACUUAAGUAAUGCAAAAGGUUGUCCUUUAAACUACUGACAAGUUGCUCUACUUAACCCAAAGAAAGUGAAGGAGAAAGCGGCUGCCUCACCGCCUAGACAUUGAGUCGCCGGAUGUUUCAAUGCCUCAUGAUACAAUAAAACCACAAAAAUUUUCGUAACA
rnacentral:lncRNA from 10 species